UCUUGGAAUGACCCUUCGGGGGAAUGAAGAGAUGGAGAGCGGCGGACGGGUGAGUAACGCGUAGGCAACCUGCCCUUCACAGAGGGAUAGCCACUGGAAACGGUGAUUAAAACCUCAUAAAGCCGGAUGUUCACAUGAACGACCGGCCAAAGAUUUAUCGGUGAAGGAUGGGCCUGCGUCUGAUUAGAUAGUUGGUAGGGUAACGGCCUACCAAGUCAACGAUCAGUAGCCGACCUGAGAGGGUAAUCGGCCACAUUGGAACUGAGACACGGUCCAAACUCC
rnacentral:rRNA from 1 species